rnacentral:lncRNA from 1 species
CUAUAGGUAGGAAGUACCUAUAGUAGGGAUGGUAAAAUGCUGUUUCCAGAAUUCAUCAUUUUAACCAACUGGUGCUGUUUUAAUAAUUAGCUAUCCUGUUAUUAUCAUUUAAAGGAGCAUUUCUAUGAUGGUGAAAGUGGCAGUGGUUACUUGGCAUGGAGGCUCCAAACCAUACAGAGGAAUAGUGCUUCAUCACAGAGCAAAAGGCCAUCACAUCAGCUGACUGGUGGAGGGCCGUCAGCUAGGAGAGAUGCUUCACCCUGAGUGAAGAGCAAUGCAAGGAGGCCAUAUCCUUCAUGAAGUUUUCAUCUGAUGAGGACACUAUCAAGCAGAAGAUGAAGAUGACAUUUGAAUAUCGUCGAUGUAUGGUCUACGACAAAGAGAAAUCCUCAGAUGUCUUGACUGAAUUUCCACGCUUCAAAGAUGUCAAAGGCCUGAUUGAGCAAGACUUCAUCUUGCAGUUUGGAGAAGAUGUAGCUGCCAAGUCUUUGGAGAGGUGGCCUACAACAUUCAAGAAAAGGGUCAUCCAGCAGAGUAAGG